UACGUAGGUGGCAAGCGUUGUCCGGAUUUACUGGGCGUAAAGAGCGCGCAGGCGGUCGAUCAAGUCGCGUGUGAAAGCCCCCGGCUCAACUGGGGAGGGUCACGCGAUACUGAUCGACUCGAAGGCAGGAGAGGGUAGUGGAAUUCCCGGUGUAGUGGUGAAUGCGUAGAUAUCGGGAGGAACACCAGUGGCGAAGGCGACUACCUGGCCUGUUCUUGACGCUGAGGCGCGAAAGCUAGGGGAGCAAACGGG
rnacentral:rRNA from 1 species